rnacentral:rRNA from 1 species
CUACGGGAGGCAGCAGUGGGGAAUAUUGCACAAUGGGCGCAAGCCUGAUGCAGCGACGCCGCGUGAGGGAUGACGGCCUUCGGGUUGUAAACCUCUUUCAGUAGGGAAGAAGCGAAAGUGACGGUACCUGCAGAAGAAGCGCCGGCUAACUACGUGCCAGCAGCCGCGGUAAUACGUAGGGCGCAAGCGUUAUCCGGAAUUAUUGGGCGUAAAGAGCUCGUAGGCGGUUUGUCGCGUCUGCCGUGAAAGUCCGGGGCUCAACUCCGGAUCUGCGGUGGGUACGGGCAGACUAGAGUGAUGUAGGGGAGACUGGAAUUCCUGGUGUAGCGGUGAAAUGCGCAGAUAUCAGGAGGAACACCGAUGGCGAAGGCAGGUCUCUGGGCAUUAACUGACGCUGAGGAGCGAAAGCAUGGGGAGCGAACAGGAUUAGAUACCCUGGUAGUCCAUGCCGUAAACGUUGGGCACUAGGUGUGGGGGACAUUCCACGUUUUCCGCGCCGUAGCUAACGCAUUAAGUGCCCCGCCUGGGGAGUACGGCCGCAAGGCUAAAACUCAAAGGAAUUGACGGGGGCCUGCACAAGCGGCGGAGCAUGCGGAUUAAUUCGAUGCAACGCGAAGAACCUUACCAAGGCUUGACAUGGGCCGGACCGGGCUGGAAACAGUCCUUCCCCUUUGGGGCCGGUUCACAGGUGGUGCAUGGUUGUCGUCGGCUCGUGUCGUGAGAUGUUGGGUUAAGUCCCGCAACGAGCGCAACCCUCGUUCCAUGUUGCCAGCGCGUAAUGGCGGGGACUCAUGGGAGACUGCCGGGGUCAACUCGGAGGAAGGUGGGGACGACGUCAAAUCAUCAUGCCCCUUAUGUCUUGGGCUUCACGCAUGCUACAAUGGCCGGUACAAAGGGUUGCGAUACUGUGAGGUGGAACUAAUCCCAAAAAGCCGGUCUCAGUUCGGAUUGGGGUCUGCAACUCGACCCCAUGAAGUCGGAGUCGCUAGUAAUCGCAGAUCAGCAACGCUGCGGUGAAUACGUUCCCGGGCCUUGUACACA